rnacentral:lncRNA from 1 species
GUGAUAUCUGAGUUGUAUAACUCUUCCUGGAUUUGCUCUGAUUUAUUAACUUUCUGUUUCCUCUAGGACUUCAAAUCAGCAGAGGAUAUUCAAAUCACAAAAACAUUUACCCAUGAACAAAUUUUGAACUCAUUGCAACAAAAAUGUAUAUGUAGAAAAUGAAGCCUUUGGAUAAUAUCCAGAAAAGGACACUUGGAAUUUCACAGUGAAGCUGAUCUGUGAGACAGACUUGUAAGAAACAGCAUGAGUGGGUCCUUCUUCGGAGGAACAGUGAUUUUCCAGAAAGAGGGGGAGUGUGCUCCUCUCUUUUCUUUUCAGAGCAGAGGCAGAGAGGUGUGGCCUCAAAGUCAGGUGUCUGGCUAGCAGGAGGGUGGCCAACACCCAGCUGCAAAUGUGGGAGCGCCCCUCGGCGUCAGAAGGCUUCGGGCUGUGCUCACUGCAGACGGAAUCGCUGCUGGCCGACCAGAGUAAAGAGUCCGGACACUCACUGGGGACUUGUCAGAUUUAUUGUCAACCAGGGAGUGACAGACACCCACGCGUUGAAUCUAACGUAUCUGCCAGCGAGUGACCAAGAACUAAAGGUGCAACAGGGUUAUAGAGGGGAGGAGGGAUCUCAGGGAGGGGUUUACAAAGGACCAAUAGGGGAAGGUAGGGGAGUGGACUUAACAUAAUAGGCACUGGGGAGAAACCAAUAGUUGCAUUAUAAGGGAGGGGCCCCGGAGCCACAGCCAAUCAAGUCUCCCUAAGCACAGAAGAUUCUGGCAAACUAGGAGGAGUGGGAAGUGAUUGACUGGGCCCACGGAGAACAAUUUCACAUAUAAGGAAACCCAGGGGAGGGGAAAUUAUAUAACAGAGAGGAUUGACAUAAACUGAGGCGGGAGUAACCAAGGUAACCAAAUGACAGACAAUACAAUGGCGGGAAAAACUGGUGAGGGCAGAACCUUUACAGAAAAUGGGGGGAACAAUACAGAAAAUAGGGGAGCAAUUAAACAAACUAACAGAACACACUACAACAAGCAGAGACCCAGGAUCAAACUAAUGUGAACCUGUAAUUGAAAAUCUUGGU